GUCGAACGCGAGCACUUGUGCUCGAGUGGUGAACGGGUGAGUAACACAUAAGUAACCUGCCCUAGACAGGGGGAUAACUAUUGGAAACGAUAGCUAAGACCGCAUAGGUACGGACACUGCAUGGUGACCGUAUUAAAAGUGCCUCAAAGCACUGGUAGAGGAUGGACUUAUGGCGCAUUAGCUGGUUGGCGGGGUAACGGCCCACCAAGGCGACGAUGCGUAGCCGACCCGAGAGGGUGACCGGCCACACUGGGACUGAGACACGGCCCAGACUCCUACGGGAGGCAGCAGUAGGGAAUUUUCGGCAAUGGGGGAAACCCUGACCGAGCAACGCCGCGUGAAGGAAGAAGGUUUUCGGAUUGUAAACUUCUGUUAUAAAGGAAGAACGGCGGCUACAGGAAAUGGUAGCCGAGUGACGGUACUUUAUUAGAAAGCCACGGCUAACUACGUGCCAGCAGCCGCGGUAAUACGUAGGUGGCAAGCGUUAUCCGGAAUUAUUGGGCGUAAAGAGGGAGCAGGCGGCAGCAAGGGUCUGUGGUGAAAGCCUGAAGCUUAACUUCAGUAAGCCAUAGAAACCAGGCAGCUAGAGUGCAGGAGAGGAUCGUGGAAUUCCAUGUGUAGCGGUGAAAUGCGUAGAUAUAUGGAGGAACACCAGUGGCGAAGGCGACGAUCUGGCCUGCAACUGACGCUCAGUCCCGAAAGCGUGGGGAGCAAAUAGGAUUAGAUACCCUAGUAGUCCAUGCCGUANACGAUGAGUACUAAGUGUUGGAUGUCANAGUUCAGUGCUGCAGUUAACGCAAUAAGUACUCCGCC
rnacentral:rRNA from 1 species